rnacentral:misc_RNA from 1 species
AAAAUAAUUUGGGUAUUUAGAUCUUGUCUGUUGAAAUUGUAAGAGCAGUACUUUACAAGUGAUGGGAUUUCAUAUGAUUGGUUGCAAUGUGGUUUGCUUUGAGAAUUGAGUUCAUCAUUGUUCCUGAUAUGAUUUUUUUUUUGGGUUAAUUUUUUCUUGUUUCCUCUUGGAAAGAUGAGUUAUAUGUAUGUGUUAUUUUGUCAGUUUACUUUCUCCUUAUGAUAUGAGAUUAUCAGUUUCAUGUGUCAAGUUAUGUUUUUCAGGGUCCAAGGAAUGGGGAGAUU